UACGAAGGGGGCUAGCGUUGUUCGGAAUCACUGGGCGUAAAGGGCGCGUAGGCGGCUUUGUAAGUCGGGGGUGAAAGCCUGUGGCUCAACCACAGAAUUGCCUUCGAUACUGCAUGGCUUGAGACCGGAAGAGGUUAGUGGAACUGCGAGUGUAGAGGUGAAAAUUCGUAGAUAUUCGCAAGAACACCAGUGGCGAAGGCGGCUGACUGGUCCGGUUCUGACGCUGAGGCGCGAAAGCGUGGGGGAGCAAACAGG
rnacentral:rRNA from 1 species